rnacentral:rRNA from 1 species
GACGAACGCUGGCGGCGUGCUUAACACAUGCAAGUCGAACGGUGAAGGAAGAGCUUGCUCUUCCGGAUCAGUGGCGAACGGGUGAGUAACACGUGGGCAACCUGCCCUGACUCUGGGAUAACUCCUCGAAAGAGGUGCUAAUACCGGAUACGACCACUUCGGACAUCCGAUGGUGGUGGAAAAGUUUUUCGGUCAGGGAUGGGCCCGCGGCCUAUCAGCUAGUUGGUGGGGUAAUGGCCUACCAAGGCGACGACGGGUAGCCGGCCUGAGAGGGCGACCGGCCACACUGGGACUGAGACACGGCCCAGACUCCUACGGGAGGCAGCAGUGGGGAAUAUUGCGCAAUGGGCGAAAGCCUGACGCAGCGACGCCGCGUGAGGGAUGAAGGCCUUCGGGUUGUAACCUCUUUCUAGCAGGACGAAGCGAAAGUGACGGUACCUGCAGAAGAAGCACCGGCUAAC